UACGGAGGGGACUAGCGUUGAUUCGGAAUUACUGGGCGUAAAGCGCACGUAGGCGGAUUUGUAAGUCAGGGGUGAAAUCCCGGGGCUCAACCUCGGAACUGCCUUUGAUACUGCAAAUCUCGAGUCCGGAAGAGGUGAGUGGAAUUCCUAGUGUAGAGGUGAAAUUCGUAGAUAUUAGGAAGAACACCAGUGGCGAAGGCGGCUCACUGGCCGGUACUGACGCUGAGGUGCGAAAGCGUGGG
rnacentral:rRNA from 1 species